rnacentral:rRNA from 1 species
UGAACGCUGGCGGCGUGCUUAAUACAUGCAAGUCGAACGGAGAUAGUAGCAAUAUUAUCUUAGUGGCGAACGGGUGAGUAACGCGUUGGUGUCCUGCCCCGAAGAGAGGGAUAGCAGUUCGAAAGGACUGAUAAUACCUCAUGUGGUUGUUGGUUUUAGAAUCUGACAACUAAACGGAUUUAUUCGCUUCGGGAGGGGCCUGCGUCCCAUCAGCUAGUUGGUAGGGUAAUGGCCUACCAAGGCGAUGACGGGUAGGGGACCUGAGAGGGUGGCCCCCCACAAUGGAACUGAAACACGGUCCAUACACCUACGGGUGGCAGCAGUAGGGAAUAUUGGUUAAUCUGCGAAAGCGGGAACCAGCAACGCCGCGUGCACGAUGAAGGCCUUCGGGUUGUAAAGUGCUUUUUGUGAGGAUGAGGAAGGACAGUACUCUUAGAAUAAGCUUCGGCUAACUACGU